rnacentral:rRNA from 1 species
AACGAACGCUGGCGGCAUGCCUAACACAUGCAAGUCGAACGAGACCUUCGGGUCUAGUGGCGCACGGGUGCGUAACGCGUGGGAACCUGCCCUUAGGUUCGGAAUAACUCCCCGAAAGGGGUGCUAAUACCGGAUAAUGUCUUCGGACCAAAGAUUUAUCGCCUUUGGAUGGGCCCGCGUUGGAUUAGCUAGUUGGUAGGGUAAAAGCCUACCAAGGCGACGAUCCAUAGCUGGUCAGAGAGGAUGAUCAGCCACACUGGGACUGAGACACGGCCCAGACUCCUACGGGAGGCGGCAGUGGGGAAUAUUGGACAAUGGGCGAAAGCCUGAUCCAGCAAUGCCGCGUGAGUGAUGAAGGCCUUAGGGUUGUAAAGCUCUUUUACCCGGGAUGAUAAUGACAGUACCGGGAGAAUAAGCUCCGGCUAACUCCGUG